rnacentral:rRNA from 1 species
UGGGGAAUUUUGGACAAUGGGCGAAAGCCUGAUCCAGCAAUGCCGCGUGUGUGAAGAAGGCCUUCGGGUUGUAAAGCACUUUUGUCCGGAAAGAAAUCCUUGGCUCUAAUACAGUCGGGGGAUGACGGUACCGGAAGAAUAAGCACCGGCUAACUACGUGCCAGCAGCCGCGGUAAUACGUAGGGUGCAAGCGUUAAUCGGAAUUACUGGGCGUAAAGCGUGCGCAGGAGGUUUGCUAAGACCGAUGUGAAAUCCCCGGGCUCAACCUGGGAACUGCAUUGGUGACUGGCAGGCUAGAGUAUGGCAGAGGGGGGUAGAAUUCCACGUGUAGCAGUGAAAUGCGUAGAGAUGUGGAGGAAUACCGAUGGCGAAGGCAGCCCCCUGGGCCAAUACUGACGCUCAUGCACGAAAGCGUGGGGAGCAAACAGGAUUAGAUACCCUGGUAGUCCACGCCCUAAAACGAUGUCAACUAGUUGUUGGGGAUUCAUUUCCUUAGUAACGUAGCUAACGCGUGAAGUUGACCGCCUGGGGAGUACGGUCGCAAGAUUAAAACUCAAAGGAAUUGACGGGGUCAUAGCUGUUUCCU